CUCAUCUCCCAUGGAGUUUCUGUCUCCCUCGCCGCCCUUGCUGCAUUCUUCUUGGAGAUCUCCAUCGAUUCUUCCAUUUCUCCCUUCCCUCUCCGCACCAGUUUAUAACAACACUGCUGGGUUGAUGGUUAAUGAUCCGGUGUUACGUACACACAAGGUUAGGUAUGUUGUGGAGCUUGCACGUUAAACAAUUUUAGAAGCAUGCAAAUAGAUUUCAAAGAUCUGUAUUAAAGGAAGGUUAUGCUAAAGAUCCUACUGUUGUGGCAAAGGCUUGUGACCGAUGGUCGUGGCUGAUG